rnacentral:rRNA from 1 species
CCUACGGGGUGCAGCAGUGGGGAAUAUUGCACAAUGGGGGAAACCCUGAUGCAGCGACGCCGCGUGAGUGAAGAAGUAUUUCGGUAUGUAAAGCUCUAUCAGCAGGGAAGAAACCCACCCUCCGGGGUGGCUGACGGUACCUGCCUAAGAAGCCCCGGCUAACUACGUGCCAGCAGCCGCGGUAAUACGUAGGGGGCAAGCGUUAUCCGGAUUUACGGGGUGUAAAGGGAGCGUAGGUGGCAAGGCAAGUCAGAUGUGAAAACCCGGGGCCCAACCCCGGGAGUGCAUUUGAAACUGGCUGGCUAGAGUGCAGGAGAGGUAAGUGGAAUUCCUAGUGUAGCGGUGAAAUGCAUAGAUAUUAGGAGGAACACCAGUGGCGAAGGCGGCUUACUGGACUGUAACUGACACUGAGGCCCGAAAGCGUGGGGAGCAAACAGGAUUAGAUACCCCUGUAGUC